rnacentral:rRNA from 1 species
UACGUAGGCAGCGAGCGUUGUUCGGAAUUACUGGGCGUAAAGAGUGUGUAGGCGGUGCUCUAAGUUCGGUGUGAAAUCUCCGUGGCUCAACUGGGAGGGUGCGCCGGAAACUGGAGUGCUUGAGCGUGGGAGAGGAAAGCGGAAUUCCUGGUGUAGCGGUGAAAUGCGUAGAUAUACAGGAGGAACACCUGUGGUGUAGACGGCUUUCUGGACCAUAGCUGACGCUGAGACACGAAAGCGUGGGUAGCAAACAGG